CCUACGGGAGGCAGCAGUGAGGAAUAUUGGUCAAUGGGCGGAAGCCUGAACCAGCCAAGUCGCGUGAGGGAUUAAGGCCCUGCGGGUCGUAAACCUCUUUUGCCGGGGAGCAGUGGUCCGGACGCGUCCGGACCGGGAGAGUACCCGGAGAAAAAGCAUCGGCUAACUCCGUGCCAGCAGACGCGGUAAUACGGAGGAUGCGAGCGUUAUACGGAUUUAUUGGGUGUAAAGGGUGCGUAGGCGGGCAUUUAAGCCGGCGGUCAAAUGUCGGGGCUCAACCCCGGCCUGCCGUUGGAACUGGGUGCCUAGAGUGGGCGAGAGGUAUGCGGAAUGCGUGGUGUAGCGGUGAAAUGCAUAGAUAUCACGAAGAACCCCGAUUGCGAAGGCAGCCUGCCGCAGCGUUACUGACGCUGAGGCUCGAAAGCGCGGGUAUCGAACAGGAUUAGAUACCCCGGUAGUC
rnacentral:rRNA from 1 species